rnacentral:rRNA from 1 species
CCUACGGGUGGCAGCAGUGAGGAAUAUUGGUCAAUGGACGAGCGUCUGAACCAGCCAAGUCGCGUGAAGGAUGACUGUCCUAUGGGUUGUAAACUUCUUUUAUAUGGGAAUAAAAUGUUCCACGUGUGGGAUUUUGUAUGUACCAUAUGAAUAAGGAUCGGCUAACUCCGUGCCAGCCGCCGCGGUAAUACGGAGGAUCCGAGCGUUAUCCGGAUUUAUUGGGUUUAAAGGGAGCGUAGGUGGAUUGUUAAGUCAGUUGUGAAAGUUUGCGGCUCAACCGUAAAAUUGCAGUUGAAACUGGCAGUCUUGAGUACAGUAGAGGUGUGCGGAAUUCGUGGUGUAGCGGUGAAAUGCUUAGAUAUCACGAAGAACUCCGAUUGCGAAGGCAGCUCACGGGACUGCAACUGACACUGAGGCUCGAAAGUGUGGGUAUCAAACAGGAUUAGAUACCCGGGUAGUC